rnacentral:rRNA from 1 species
CCUACGGGAGGCAGCAGUGGGGAAUAUUGGGCAAUGGGCGCAAGCCUGACCCAGCAACGCCGCGUGAAGGAAGAAGGCUGGCGGGUUGUAAACGUCUUUUCUCAGGGACGAAGAAAGUGACGGUACCUGAGGAAUAAGCAACGGCUAACUACGGGCCAGCAGCGGCGGUAAUACGUAGGUGGCAAGCGUUAGACGGAUUUACGGGGUGUAAAGGGCGUGUAGGCGGGGAAGCAAGUCAGAUGGGAAAACCACGGGCUCAACCUGUGGCCUGCAUUUGAAACUGUUUUUCUUGAGUACUGGAGAGGCAGGCGGAAUGCCUAGUGUAGCGGUGACAUGCGUAGAUAUUAGGAGGAACACCAGUGGCGAAGGCGGUCUGCUGGACAGCAACUGACGCUGAGGCGCGAAAGCGUGGGGAGCAAACAGGAUUAGAUACCCUAGUAGUC